UAAGGAAUAUUGCUCAAUGGGAGAAAUCCUGAAGCAGCAACGCCGCGUGGAGGAUGAAGGGUCUAUGACUUGUAAACUCCUGUAAAGAAGGAAAAAAUUCCCAUUAGAUGGGAGAUGAUGGUACUUCUGGAGUAAGCCCCGGCUAACUACGUGCCAGCAGCCGCGGUAAUACGUAGGGGGCAAGCGUUGUCCGGAUUUACUGGGUGUAAAGGGCGCGCAGGCGGGAUAAAAAGUCAGUGGUGAAAUCCUACAGCUUAACUGUAGAACUGCCUGUGAUACUUUUAUUUUUGAGUUCGGGAGAGAGAGACGGAAUUCCAGGUGUAGUGGUGAAAUACGUAGAUAUCUGGAAGAACACCAGUUGCGAAGGCGGUCUCUUGGUCCGACACUGACGCUGAGGCGCGAAAGCGUGGGGAGCAAACA
rnacentral:rRNA from 1 species